ACUUGGGAGGUGCAGGAAACAAUAGCCUAAAGGUGAACAUUCUAGAACCCAAAUCGACCUCUUGGCCCACAACCCAAAACAAAGAACAAUCGAACAUCUUCCGUCUCCAGCGUUGCGUGUUAGAAACUUCGAAUCGAAACUUCACACAGCGAGAGAGAGAGAGAGAGAGAGAGAAUAGAGAAAGCAUGAAGCUCACAGACUCGCCGGGGAUCGAACUUCCGGUGAACGACGCCGUUUUGUCCCUUCAGCAAGACAACGGGUCCAUGCACGUGGGAACCUCCGUGUGGCCCUGCUCCCUCGUCCUCGUCAAAUUCGCGGAGCGCUGGGCCCCACCCUCUGACAUCAACAACAACAACCCUUAAGCCCGCGUGCUCGACUUCGAAGGCAAACGGGCCGUGGAACUCGGCACGGGCUGCGGCGUUGCGGGUAUGGGCCUCUACCUACUGGGCCUGACGGACCUGCUCCUCACCGUCAUCUUUCCCGUCAUGCCGGCCCUGAAACGCAACCUGAAAGUCAGCAAGCCCAUCCUCCGCAAGACCCUGAAACACUCCGUGCUCUACUGGAACAACCCGCAGCAGAUCGCAGCCCUAAACCCUCCCUUCGAUUUCGCCGUCGCGACGGACUUCGUUUACAUCCGCGAAUCCGUUCCUUCGCUUGUUUCUGCUAUGGAAACACUCGUCUACGACAACGGCGUCGUUUUGCUCGGGUACCGGCUUAGGUCACCCGAGGCGCACGAGCUUUUCUGGGAACUCUGUGAACGAGUCUUCCACGUUGAGAAAGUCCCGCACGAGCAUCUGCAUCCCGAUUAUGCUUACGAGGAAACCGAUGUUUAUCUUUUGGGGAAGAAAAACAAGAAACAGUGACUGAUUUUAGGUAAUUUAGAAAUUUAUGUUACAUUACAGUUCAGUGACUCAAAAAAAUAAUAUUUUUACUUUAUUGAGAUGGUUUUAGAAUAAAUUAAUGCACAAAAAAAAAAAAUAGAAAUUAGAAUAGCUAGCAGCAUUUGAAGAAUGUUGUGCUGGUUGUUUAAACGUCCGUGUCGUUGUCUGUUUGGUUUGGUGCACAAGAAUAAAAUUGGGGUCAGUCACCAACCGCAAGUUAAAUCCGUGAUCUCUGUUGACUGAAUUUUGGAUAUCGGAAUCAUGGAAAAAGGUUAAUUUUGUUUCAGGGUGAAAGAUGUUAUUUGUGUUCCUAUAGACUGUAAACUUAUUUGCAAGUUCACAACUCCUUGGAUCAUUUUAUAUAAGACGGGAAACUUUUGCAA